GACAAACGCUGGCGGAAUGUAUUAGGCAUGCAAGUCGUACGAACCUUCGGGUUAGUGGCGAACGGGUGAGUAACACGUGGGUAACCUGCCUCGUAGUGGGGAAUAACUCGCCGAAAGGCGAGCUAAUACCGCAUAACACCCCCGGUGAGAAUCCGGGUGGUAAAAGCUCCGGCGCUACGAGAGGGGCCCGCGGCCGAUUAGCUAGUUGGUGGGGUAAUAGCCUACCAAGGCGACGAUCGGUAGCUGGUCUGAGAGGAUGGUCAGCCACACGGGGACUGAGAUACGGCCCCGACUCCUACGGGAGGCAGCAGCUAAGAAUCUUGCGCAAUGGGCGAAAGCCUGACGCAGCAAUUUCCGCGUGGGGGGACGAAGGCCCUCGGGUCGUAAACCCCCUUUUUGUGAGGGAAGAAGUUCUGACGGUACCUCACGAAUAAGACACGGCUAACUACGUGCCAGCAGCCGCGGUAAAGUCUGUACU
rnacentral:rRNA from 1 species